AGUGAACGCUGGCGGUAGGCCUAACACAUGCAAGUCGAACGGCAGCACAGUAAGAGCUUGCUCUUACGGGUGGCGAGUGGCGGACGGGUGAGGAAUACAUCGGAAUCUACUUUUUCGUGGGGGAUAACGUAGGGAAACUUACGCUAAUACCGCAUACGACCUACGGGUGGAAGCAGGGGAUCUUCGGACCUUGCGCGAUUGAAUGAGCCGAUGUCGGAUUAGCUAGUUGGCGGGGUAACGGCCCACCAAGGCGACGAUCCGUAGCUGGUCUGAGAGGAUGAUCAGCCACACUGGAACUGAGACACGGUCCAGACUCCUACGGGAGGCAGCAGUGGGGAAUAUUGGACAAUGGGCGCAAGCCUGAUCCAGCCAUACCGCGUGGGUGAAGAAGGCCUUCGGGUUGUAAAGCCCUUUUGUUGGGAAAGAAAAGCAGCAGGUUAAUACCCCGCUGUUCUGACGGUACCCAAAGAAUAAGCACCGGCUAACUUCGUG
rnacentral:rRNA from 1 species